ACAUUUUGUGAGACAGCAUGGGAAACUACAAGGUGCUCUGUAAAACCUCUUUGAGAACUGAAGGAUGGAGAAAUGAGGUGAAGAGACUAAGUACACCCAGGAAAGCUGAAGCCGGGCUGGGCCAGACCCCAGAACUGCUGCUUCAUGCCAUGAAUGAACUACAAUCAAAUAAAAAUAUUCGCCACAACAGCUUGUCAGCAGCACAACUUGCAGUAUUGCUUCUUUUGCUGCAGGGUUUGGGAUUUCACGGUGCUACAUUCUGCCUAUGAAUGCCUGAAAGACUCCUAUCUGGGUUAUAAAAGGACAUUUAUUCAAUGAGGAGGAAAAAAAAUAAAAGGAAAUCGUUCAAUCUUUCA
rnacentral:lncRNA from 1 species